GCGGAGGGAUCAUUAAAGAGUUCUAUAACUCCCAAACCCAUGUGAACAUACCUAACGUUGCCUCGGCAGGUCGCACCUACCUUGUAGCACCCUACCCUGUAGGGCCUACCCGGGAGGUGCGGGUAAGCCUGCCGGCGGCCCACCAAACUCUGUUUGAUAUUGAAUUCUGAACCUAUAACUAAAUAAGUUAAAACUUUCAACAACGGAUCUCUUGGUUCUGGCAUCGAUGAAGAACGCAGCGAAAUGCGAUAAGUAAUGUGAAUUGCAGAAUUCAGUGAAUCAUCGAAUCUUUGAACGCAUAUUGCGCCCAUUAGUAUUCUAGUGGGCAGGACCGUUCGAGCGUCAUUUCAACCCUUAAGCCUUCGUUGCUUAGUGUUGGGAGCCUACGGCAACGUAGCUCCUCAAAGUUAGUGGCGGAGUUGGUUCACACUCUAGACGUAGUAAUUUUUUAUCUCGCCUAUUAGUUGGACUAAUCCCCUGCCGUAAAACCCCCAAUCUAUAUCAAGGUUGACCUCGAAUCGGUUCAGACAAACUCGCUAAAUUGAAGCAUCUUAGUCAGCGAAGGAAAAGAAACCAACAGGGAUUGCCCUAGUAAC
rnacentral:rRNA from 1 species